UAAAGCGUGCGCAGGCGGUUUCGUAAGACAGAUGUGAAAUCCCCGGGCUUAACCUGGGAACUGCAUUUGUGACUGCGAGACUAGAGUGUGGCAGAGGGGGGUAGAAUUCCACGUGUAGCAGUGAAAUGCGUAGAGAUGUGGAGGAAUACCGAUGGCGAAGGCAGCCCCCUGGGCCAACACUGACGCUCAUGCACGAAAGCGUGGGGAGCAAACAGGGUUAGAUACCCUGGUAGUCCACGCCCUAAACGAUGUCAACUAGUUGUUGGGGAAGGAGACUUCCUUAGUAACGCAGCUAACGCGUGAAGUUGACCGCCUGGGGAGUACGGUCGCAAGAUUAAAACUCAAAGGAAUUGACGGGGACCCGCACAAGCGGUGGAUUAUGUGGAUUAAUUCGAUGCAACGCGAAAAACCUUACCUACCCUUGACAUGCCAGGAACUUUCCAGAGAUGGAUUGGUGCCCGAAAGGGAACCUGGACACAGGUGCUGCAUGGCUGUCGUCAGCUCGUGUCGUGAGAUGUUGGGUUAAGUCCCGCAACGAGCGCAACCCUUGCCAUUAAUUGCCAUCAUUCAGUUGGGCACUUUAAUGGGACUGCCGGUGAUAAACCGGAGGAAGGUGGGGAUGACGUCAAGUCCUCAUGGCCCUUAUGGGUAGGACUUCACACGUAAUACAAUGGUCGGUACAGAGGGUUGCCAACCCGCGAGGGGGAGCUAAUCCCAGAAAGCCGAUCGUAGUCCGGAUUGUUCUCUGCAACUCGA
rnacentral:rRNA from 1 species